rnacentral:rRNA from 1 species
GACGAACGCUGGCGGCGUGCCUAAUACAUGCAAGUCGAACGCAGUGGGGACGGGUGAGUAACACGUGGGUAACCUCCCAUCAGAGGGGAUAACACUUGGAAACAGGUGCUAAACCGAUACUGAUGGAUGGACCCGCGGUGCAUUAGCUAGGUGGUGAGGUAAAGGCUUACCAAGGCCACGAUGCAUAGCUGGCCUGAGAGGAUGAUCAGCCAAACGGGGACUGAGACACGGCCCAGACUCCUACGGGAGGCAGCAGUGGGGAAUCUGCGGCAAUGGACGAAAGUCUGAUCGAGCAACGCCGCGUGUGUGAAGAAGGUUUUCGGAUCGUAAAACACUGUUGUUAGAGAAGCGGUAUCUGACCAAAAAGCAACGGCUAACUACGUGCCAGCAGCCGCGGUAAUUC